rnacentral:lncRNA from 11 species
UGGAAAUGUAUGUAGAACCUUUCUUUUGCUGGAGUUGAAUCCCCCAAAACUGGAGAAUUUGCAGCAUUGUCUCCCACCUGAAGAUGACCCACAAAAACCAGAGAAUGAGAACCAGGCCUUGAGAUCUGGCAACUCUACUAACAAUGGUGCGGAAGCUGUCAAGAGAGAAACUACUGUAUGAGGAGGGAUGUUGCCCUGUUUACAAUAGAAAUCUUUUCUGCCUUCACAGUCAAAGCAUUUGAGGCACAAGAUGACAGACUGGGCUUUCUGCUGAGGCAUUGGAACGCUAUUAUAAAGCAGCAUUGAAUCAUCCCUUUGAAGUUCUCUCUUCC